rnacentral:rRNA from 1 species
UAAAUAGGAACAAGCGACACUUUCGGGCGGAAUGAUACGGACCAUGCUAAGCGUCGCUUCGGCGGCGUGGCCGUAUGGCACCGGUCAUCCGUUCGUCCUUGGCCUACUUCUUAGAGGGACUGCCGGUGUUGCAACCGGAGGAAGUUUGAGGCAAUAACAGGUCUGUGAUGCCCUUAGAUGUUCUGGGCCGCACGCGCGCUACACUGACGGAGCCAGCGAGUACUGGCGCAAGCCUUCCUUGGCCGAAAGGU